rnacentral:rRNA from 1 species
GAGUUUGAUCCUGGCUCANGAUGAACGCUAGCGGCAGGCUUAACACAUGCCNGUCGAGGGGUAACAGAGGAAAGCUUGCUUCCCUGCUGACGACCGGCGAACGGGUGCGUAACGCGUAUGCAACUUACCCCUAACAAAAGAAUAGCCCCGAGAAAUCGGGAUUAAUACUUUAUAAUAUCAAACUUUCGCAUGUUAGUUUGAUUAAAGCUUCGGCGGUUAGGGAUGGGCAUGCGUCUGAUUAGUUAGUUGGUGAGGUAACGGCUCACCAAGACAACGAUCAGUAGGGGGUCUGAGAGGAUGAUCCCCCACACUGGUACUGAGACACGGACCAGACUCCUACGGGAGGCAGCAGUGAGGAAUAUUGGUCAAUGGACGAAAGUCUGAACCAGCCAUGCCGCGUGCAGGAAGAAUGCCCUAUGGGUUGUAAACUGCUUUUAUGUAGGAAGAAACCCUCUGACGUGUCAGAGGCUGACGGUACUACACGAAUAAGCACCGGCUAACUCCGUGCCAGCAGCCGCGGUAAUACGGAGGGUGCAAGCGUUAUCCGGAUUUAUUGGGUUUAAAGGGUUCNCANGCGGAAAAUUAAGUCAGUGGUGAAAGCCUACAGCUCAACUGUAGAACUGCCAUUGAAACUGAUUUUCUUGAGUAUAGUUGAAGUGGGCGGAAUGUGUCAUGUAGCGGUGAAAUGCAUAGAUAUGACACAGAACACCGAUAGCGAAGGCAGCUCACUAAAACUAUUACUGAC